AUUGAACGCUGGCGGCAGGCCUAACAUAUGCAAGUCGAACGGUAGCACAGAGAGCUUGCUCUCGGGUGACGAGUGGCGGACGGGUGAGUAAUGUCUGGGAAACUGCCUGAUGGAGGGGGAUAACUACUGGAAACGGUAGCUAAUACCGCAUAACGUCGCAAGACCAAAAGAGGGGGACCUUCGGGCCUCUUGCCAUCAGAUGUGCCAGAGUGGGAUUAGCUAGUAGGUGGGGUAACGGCUCACCUAGGCGACGAUCCCUAGCUGGUCUGAGAGGAUGACCAGCCACACUGGAACUGAGACACGGUCAGACUCCUACGGGAGGCAGCAGUGGGGAAUAUUGCACAAUGGGCGCAAGCCUGAUGCAGCCAUGCCGCGUGUAUGAAGAAGGCC
rnacentral:rRNA from 1 species